GCUAACCACGGGCUGUGGGCCAGGAAUGGGCAGGCAGUCCACGACAGAAGCGUGAGUGACCGAGUGUCCACAGUGGGCAAUAAUCCUGCCGGGCACCUCUGGGACCUCACAUCUCAGAGUUACUCUCACCCCUGGACGGAGCUACUGGGGCAGUCAGCUCUCCACCAGCCUAACCCCUUGAUGCAGAUUCUGGAGGCCACAGAAUGCCCUGAGGCCCAGAGUCGCGUAGGCUGGCAUGGGACUGGUGCUCGAAGCAGGAUCAUCCUGCCUUGUCCCUGGUUCUGCAGGCAGGCCAGGAGCUGCUUUAACACUCUGGCCUAGGAACUCUGCAGACCAGGGAGAUGCCGCCGGAGUUUCGGUGGAAUGAAAUUCUCCCCUCCUGGUUUAUGCGGUCACGCUCACAGAAUGGAAGAAGGAUUCUUCGUGGUAACAUCAUUUCACCAGCACAGUGAUACACACACACCCGGACACCAGAUGCAAAGCCCCGCUCACGGAAACGCACGCACAGAAAGACAAACGGGCUCCGAGACACCGGCGUCCACACAAGGUCACGGGCCCUCGCGCACACGCAAACGCUACUGUCUCUACGCAGAGGGGAGCCCUGAUGUGGAUGAAGGAGACAGACCGAGACAAGCUGCUCUCGAGGAAGCGAUCUCACUGGCAUCA